GAUGAACGCUGGCGGCGUGCCUAAUACAUGCAAGUCGAGCGAACAGACGAGGAGCUUGCUCCUUCGACGUUAGCGGCGGACGGGUGAGUAACACGUAUGUAAUCUACUUAUAUUACUGGGAUAACUUCGGGAAACCGGAUCUAAUACCGGAUAAUAUUUCGAACCGCAUGGUUCGAUAGUGAAAGAUGGCUUUGCUAUCUCUUAUCGAUGCUCCUGCGCCGUAUUAGCUAGUUGGUAAGGUAACGGCUUACCAAGGCAACGAUACGUAGCCGACCUGAGAGGGUGAUCGGCCACACUGGAACUGAGACACGGUACAGACUCCGACGGGAGGCAGCAGUAGGGAAUGUUCGGAAAUGGGCGAAAGCCUGAAGGAGCAACGCCGCGUGAGUGAAGAAGGGCUUCGGAUCGUAAAACGCUGUUAUUAGGGAAGAACAAACGUGUAAGUAACUGUGCACGUCUUGACGGUACCUAAACAGAAAGACACGGCUAACUACGUG
rnacentral:rRNA from 1 species